GUAGGUGAACCUGCGGAAGGAUCAUUAUUGAAAAUAAACCUGAUGGGUUGUUGCUGGUUCUCUAGGGAGCAUGUGCACACUUGUCAUCUUUAUAUCUCCACCUGUGCACCUUUUGUAGACCUUGAUAUCUUUCUGAAUGCAAAUUCAGGUUUUGAGGAUUGACAAUUCUUUCCUUACAUUUCUAGGCCUAUGUUUCUUCAUAUAACACCCCAAUGUAUGUUUAUAGAAUGUAAUAAAUGGGCCUUUGUGC
rnacentral:misc_RNA from 1 species